AGAGCUGAAACCCAUCCAGCUCAAACAUCAGCCACAAAGACUGUUAAUAGUGAAAUACACAGCACGGAUGAGAAAAACAAGCAUGAUGUGAUUCUGGUGAUGUUUCUUCCAGUGAUGCUUGUGCUCUUACUGUUUGUAACUCUUGUUGCCAUAGUAACCUGGAGACUGAGAAAGAAACCAGAGAGAAGUCAAAUUGGAGAAGAACAUUUUAACAGCACCAGAAAUACAAUGACAUCCAACAGUCCGGCA